UUUUUUUUUCAAAAAAGCUGUCCAAAUUAAUAGUCCUUUCCGAUUCCCCAUAAUUGUGUAAUUUCUUGAAUCUUUUCAUAUUCUCCGUUAACUUAUUUAAUUUGAUGAUAUUCAUCUCUCUUUCUUUAACUCUCUCUCCUAAAUCUUGCUACUGUUCCUCUCUCUCUCAGAUUUAGCUGACUACUCCCUCAUCUCUUUCAAUUCAUCUUUCCUUUCAGAUUCCAUCACUUUCUUCCUCUAUUUUUCCUCUGCAAGAAUCGGCCUUGACCCUCUUUCUUUCUUCUAGAUCUGGUUUUGGCCUUCUUCCUCUCUCUUUCUUCUAAAUUCGACUCCAACUUUCUCUUCCCUAUCUCUCAUUUCCUUCAUCUACGUGCCUUUCCUUCAUUGAGUGAAAAUCAUAUGAAUAGGUUUUUGCCCUGAUAAAAAUCCUCGGACACCAUAGAAAACGUCAACAGCGAAGGUAUCUCGCCGGACCAGCAGGACUCAUCUUCGCUGGGAAACAGCUCGAACACGGCCGCACCCUCGCCGACUACAACACGCACCGGCGAUUUCUCUAUCUUUCUCCGUGUGCUUGAUUUUUGCCUCAUCUGAGAAUAAAUCACAAAGGGUGUUAGUGUUAGGGUUUUUGGCGCUGCUUCUCAUAUAAAAAGCUCAUAAAGGCCGCCCAUCGUUCAACAGCUCCAGGCUUUGUUUCCUUGCUGCUUCUUCCUCUUCAGGUGCUUGGUUUUUUGGUAGUAUUUCUUGAGUGCUAAGAAGACUCAGCAAAUAUGCAGAAUGAGGAGGGGCAAAACAUGGAUCUCUAUAUCCCAAGGAAGUGUUCGAGCUAAUGGUCCUAAUGAUGUGAGGUGAUUAUGGGAUAUCCGUCUUCCCCGUGGAAGACGACAUAUUUUGCUGAAAAUUUGAGACAUCUUGCUUCCAUCCUAACAUCAGACGUUUUAUGGAAACAUAUGCUUGGGCAUAUUACAGGAUAAGCGGUUGCCUGCCUAUGAUGUUGGAACUAUCUUACUAUCGAUUUAGAGUUUGCUUGGAGCAAGAGAUAUAUGUAGAGAUGAGGAAAUCUAUGAAGCUCGGAUCGGCACAUGAUUAAUUUCAGAAUGAUGUGACAAUAUUAAGAACUUUGAUAUUUAUUUGUAGCUCGAGUUGUUUAUUUUCAUUGCAUAGGAACUUCGAUAUUUUCUUUUUGUACAAAGAUGACAUAUACCUCAUUCGGAAGCCUCCUAAAUUUCUUUGAUUGUAACCCUAUGAUUGUAACCCUUUUGUAACCCUAUGUGAUUGUAAAUUUAUUUAUUCUUUUGCCAUUCUUUUAAUGAAAUUGAUGGAUGGGAGUUAGCUA